rnacentral:rRNA from 1 species
GACGAACGCUGGCGGCGCGCUUAACACAUGCAAGUCGAACGGAAAGGCCUGCUUUCUCUUGUGGAUUGCGGGUACUCGAGUGGCGAACGGGUGAGUAACACGUGAGUGAUCUGCCCCCAACUUGGGUAUAAGCCUGGGAAACUGGGUCUAAUUCCCGAUAGGACUGCAGGGUGGUGCCUGUGGUGGAAAACGAUUUUCUAGUGGUUGGGGAUGAGCUCGCGGCCUAUCAGCUUGUUGGUGGGGUAAUGGCCUACCAAGGCGGCGACGGGUAGCCGGCCUGAGAGGGUGGACGGGCACAUUGGGACUGAGAUACGGCCCAGACUCCUACGGGAGGCAGCAGUGGGGAAUAUUGCACAAUGGGCGGAAGCCUGAUGCAGCGACGCCGCGUGGGGGAUGACGGCCUUCGGGUUGUAAACUCCUUUCGACCGCGAGGAAGCCACCUGGUUGGAAGGGUGGUGACGGUAGUGGUAGAAGAAGCACCGGCUAACUACGUG